rnacentral:tRNA from 1 species
AAGGCCUUAGCUUAAUUAAAGCAUUUGGGUUGCAUUCAGGAGAUGCAGGUUAAUGUCCUGCAGGUCUUA